AGAGGCAUGGCUCAGUAAUAGAGCACUUGCCUGUCAAACAUGAGUCCCUGAGUUCAAACCCCAGUGCCACAA
rnacentral:tRNA from 1 species